UACGUAGGUGGCGAGCGUUGUCCGGAAUCAUUGGGCGUAAAGAGCGCGUAGGUGGCUUGUCAGGUCCGGUGUGAAAUCCUGGAGCUUAACUCCAGGCGUGCAUUGGAAACCGGCUUGCUAGAGUCUGGGAGAGGAGAGUGGAAUUCCUGGUGUAGCGGUGAAAUGCGUAGAUAUCAGGAGGAACACCGGUAGCGAAGGCGGCUCUCUGGAACAGUACUGACACUGAGGCGCGAAAGCUAGGGGAGCAAACAGG
rnacentral:rRNA from 1 species